UAGGAGGUCCUGGAGACACGUGCUCAUU
rnacentral:piRNA from 1 species